CUCGUGAUCACCAGGAAGUAAACUUUCCAGUCAGUGAAUCUUGUUGUGAACAGUCGUUCUCGAGUAAUUUUGUAUUAACCGUCUGUAUUUAAAAUGCCUUUACUUUGUGGCGGAACAUCCGAGGCGAAAGAUGCCACUGAAGAGGUGCAGAAAAUAUGCGAUGAGAUGAAGUCUCAUGCCGAGACUAAAGCUGGCCGCACGUUUGACGUUUUCACCGCCAAAUCCUUUAAAUCGCAAGUUGUUGCGGGGACAAAUUACUUCAUUAAGGUGCAUGUAGGUGAGGAUGACUAUAUUCAUCUACGUGUCUAUAAAACCCUGCCGCAUGCUGGAGAAAAACUGGAGUUGCACAGCAUUCAGACAUCCAAGGCUCACCAUGAUGCCAUUGAAUACUUCUGAAGCAAACCUCCAGAAAGAUCAAAUCAUCAUGAAUAUUGACCAAAAUCCCACUGUUACCAUUUUUACACUGUAAAUGUUUACAUUAACAUCUGAAGAUGAAACAUGUUAACUCAUUUAUUACAUGUGAUGACCAAUAAUGAACAUUAUUGACUAGUGUGUAAACAAUACCUGCAGUCAGUGCAACUCAUUUUGAAUGCAGGUAAUCCUUUAAAUACAUGUCACCAUUGUGCUUUUGGCAUAGCUGUACAAUAACAGUUCAUUUUUCCCUCCCUUACGCUAAAAACAUCACUUAACUCACAUCUAGAUAUCCAUGCCAACAGUUCUUCACAUUUUGGGCUUUGUACUUAGUGAUAUUGAUGCAGUAAAUAGUGAUUUUAUACUUGACUGCUAAUAAUGUAAAGUAUUUAUUUGAAAUGCAUGAAUGGACAGUUA